GAUGAACGCUGGCGGCGUGCCUAAUACAUGCAAGUCGGGCGAACGGACGAGAAGCUUGCUUCUCUGAUGUUAGCGGCGGACGGGUGAGUAACACGUGGAUAACCUACCUAUAAGACUGGGAUAACUUCGGGAAACCGGAGCUAAUACCGGAUGAUAUUUUGAACCGCAUGGUUCAAAAGUGAAAGACGGUCUUGCUGUCACUUAUAGAUGGAUCCGCGCUGCAUUAGCUAGUUGGUAAGGUAACGGCUUACCAAGGCAACGAUGCAUAGCCGACCUGAGAGGGUGAUCGGCCACACGGGAACUGAGACGCGGUCAAGACUCCUACGGGAGGCAGCAGUAGGGAAUCUUCCGCAAUGGGCGAAAGCCUGACGGAGCAACGCCGCGUGAGUGAUGAAGGUCUUCGGAUCGUAAAACUCUGUUAUUAGGGAAGAACAUAUGUGUAAGUAACUGUGCACAUCUUGACGGUACCUAAUCAGAAAGCCACGGCUAACUACGUG
rnacentral:rRNA from 1 species